rnacentral:rRNA from 1 species
UACGAAGGGGGCUAGCGUUGCUCGGAAUCACUGGGCGUAAAGGGCGCGUAGGCGGCGAUCCAAGUUAGGCGUGAAAGCCCCGGGCUCAACCUGGGAAUAGCGCUUAAGACUGGGUUGCUCGAGUGCGGGAGAGGUGAGUGGAAUUCCCAGUGUAGAGGUGAAAUUCGUAGAUAUUGGGAAGAACACCAGUGGCGAAGGCGGCUCACUGGCCCGCAACUGACGCUGAGGCGCGAAAGCGUGGGGAGCAAACAGG